ACAAGCGGUGGAGCAUGUGGUUUUAAUUCGAUGAUACGCGAAGAACCUUACCAGGUCUUGACAUCCCCCGCGAUGCUUUAGAGAUAAAGCGGAGGUAUUCGGGGAGACAGGUGGUGCAUGGUUGUCGUCAGCUCGUGUCGUGAGAUGUUGGGUUAAGUCCCGCAACGAGCGCAACCCCUAUUGCUAGUUACCAUCAUUAAGUUGGGGACUCUAGCGAGACUGCCAGUGAUAAACUGGAGGAAGGUGGGGAUGACGUCAAAUCAUCAUGCCCCUUAUGACCUGGGCUACAAACGUGAUACAAUGGCUGGAACAAAGGGAUGCGAAGCAGUGAUGUGGAGCGAAACCCAUAAAAACAGUCUCAGUUCGGAUUGAAGUCUGCAACUCGACUUCAUGAAGUCGGAAUCGCUAGUAAUCGCGGAUCAGAACGCCGCGGUGAAUACGUUCUCGGGGUUU
rnacentral:rRNA from 1 species